AGCGUAGACGGAGUGGCAAGUCUGAUGUGAAAACCCGGGGCUCAACCCCGGGACUGCAUUGGAAACUGUCAAUCUAGAGUACCGGAGAGGUAAGCGGAAUUCCUAGUGUAGCGGUGAAAUGCGUAGAUAUUAGGAGGAACACCAGUGGCGAAGGCGGCUUACUGGACGGUAACUGACGUUGAGGCUCGAAAGCGUGGGGAGCAAACAG
rnacentral:rRNA from 1 species